rnacentral:rRNA from 1 species
AUUGAACGCUGGCGGCAUGCCUUACACAUGCAAGUCGAACGGCAGCACGGGAGCAAUCCUGGUGGCGAGUGGCGAACGGGUGAGUAAUAUAUCGGAACGUGCCCAGUCGUGGGGGAUAACGCAGCGAAAGCUGUGCUAAUACCGCAUACGAUCUAUGGAUGAAAGCGGGGGACUCGCAAGGGCCUCGCGCGAUUGGAGCGGCCGAUAUCAGAUUAGGUAGUUGGUGGGGUAAAGGCUCACCAAGCCGACGAUCUGUAGCUGGUCUGAGAGGACGACCAGCCACACUGGAACUGAGACACGGUCCAGACUCCUACGGGAGGCAGCAGUGGGGAAUUUUGGACAAUGGGCGCAAGCCUGAUCCAGCAAUGCCGCGUGCAGGAUGAAGGCCUUCGGGUUGUAAACUGCUUUUGUACGGAACGAAACGGUUCUUUCUAAUACAGAGAGCUAAUGACGGUACCGUAAGAAUAAGCACCGGCUAACUACGUGCCAGCCGCCGCCGUAACAC